rnacentral:lncRNA from 1 species
UUACAUUCCAAAUUAUCACCAUUAAUUUUGAUAAUUCGCAAGAAAUGCAUAUCUGUCCAUAUUUUUAAACUUGAUCUCCACCUUAGAAACAACUAUUUAAUAGCUGUUCAUAUUGGUACUGUCCCAGACUCACACUGAUAAUUCUACAGGAAUUCCCAAUUAUUUUUGAGCUAUUUUAUAUACUAUGAUAAUGUGAAUUGGGAGAUUCUUUAAAUUACUUUGCUCUGUGAUAUAUUUAUUGAGUACCUACUGUAUGACCCUAUCAUAGGCAAUGUUCAAACUAAUGGUAGUAUAUUAAAACCAAACCUGAAGUUGAAUUAUAGUGAAAGAUAAAUUUAACUGAUACUUUUCUGAAAAUAACUUUUAUAGAAUUUUUAUUUGCAUUUAAAUGUGAAUAAAAACUUUACAGUAAGCACUUUAUCCAGAGACCAUAACAGACUUUUCCUUACUCAAGGAUUUCCAAAAGUAGCCUACUUUUGUAUUAACAAAUCUUACUCAAAGACCUUAAUUUCAGUUUAUAAACUUGUUAACUGACCCUAAAUGUUCAUGAUGCUUUGGAAUUUUGUACUCACCAUUAAAAACAAAAAAGGCUAAGGCAGUUAAAGC